rnacentral:misc_RNA from 1 species
AAGUCGUAACAAGGUUUCCGUAGGUGAACCUGCGGAAGGAUCAUCAAAGUGAUCGUGUGUGGGGGAGGAGAGUUUAUGCGCGCAACGCGCGCGCGCCUCCUCCUCCCCACGCCAAUCUUGUGUGAACCGUUAUUCUGUGGUGUGUGUAUGCGUUGGUGUGUGAUGUGUUUACAGCACUCCCACCAGCAUCACAAACACAAUAAUCUCUCUCUUUAACCUUUGUCUAACAUGAUGUACCCACAAUUCAAAACAACUUUUAACAAUGGAUCUCUUGGCUCUC